rnacentral:rRNA from 1 species
CAGUAGCGUAUACUAAAGUUGUUGCAGUUAAAAAGCUCGUAGUCGGCACUCUCGAAUCGGUCUGGAGCACCCCGCAUCAUUCAGUUGUUGCGGGACUGCUCGGACGGCUUACCUUGAGGAAACUAGGGUGUUCAAGGCAGGGCCACCUGGAUACCGCAGCUGGGAAUAAGGACUGCGCAUAGGGACAGUUGGGGGCAUUCGUACUCGGCAGCCAGAGGUGAAAUUCUCGGACUUGCCGAAGACGGACAAGUGCGAAAGCAUUUGCCAAGGAUGUUUUCAUUGA